rnacentral:misc_RNA from 1 species
GCCAAACUCAAGCCCAUGUAGAGAAGCAUGAAUGAGCUAGAAAAAGAGCUAGACCCAGGCCCAUUAGCAUGGAUGGGCUGGAUAUGAAGAUGAAGGCUAGACAAGGCAAUUGUAAGGCAAGUUACAACUGGGCAUCAACAAGUUCAUCACAGUUGCACGUGAGGGGGAGUGUUCGAAUGUGAAAUUUGAUCCCACAUCGGUUGGGAAUGAAACAACAAUGGGUAUAAAUAUGGAGGCCUAGCAAAGUCAAAAUGAUUAGGCCAUUUUGAUAAGCUGCCCAAUUCUGUGAAGCCCACUAGCAGAGCACAAAGUCCACACACCUCAAGGGCCCAAUCCAGAAAUAACGGUUCCUAUUUCCUAGAAUCACUCACGUAAGUUGUCAAUUAGUCAAAUAUUACUCUUACCUAACCCCACUAAUGAUAAAAUUAAAUAAGCAAGAGUCCCAUUUCAUCUUCUCAUCCUUCACGUCAACUUUUUUUUCUUCUUGCAUCACUUCUUACUCUUCUUCUCCUCCUCCUCUUUUCU